rnacentral:rRNA from 1 species
GACGAACGCUGGCGGCGUGCUUAACACAUGCAAGUCGAACGGAAAGGCCCUGCUUUUGUGGGGUGCUCGAGUGGCGAACGGGUGAGUAACACGUGAGUAACCUGCCCUUGACUUUGGGAUAACUUCAGGAAACUGGGGCUAAUACCGGAUAUGAGCUCCUGCUGCAUGGUGGGGGUUGGAAAGUUUCGGCGGUUGGGGAUGGACUCGCGGCUUAUCAGCUUGUUGGUGGGGUAGUGGCUUACCAAGGCUUUGACGGGUAGCCGGCCUGAGAGGGUGACCGGCCACAUUGGGACUGAGAUACGGCCCAGACGCCUACGGGAGGCAGCAGUGGGGAAUAUUGCACAAUGGGCGGAAGCCUGAGGCAGCAACGCCGCGUGCGGGAUGACGGCCUUCGGGUGGUAAACAGCUUUCGCCUGUGACGAAGCGUGAGUGACGGUAAUGGGUAAAGAAGCACCGGCUAACUACGUG